rnacentral:rRNA from 1 species
AUUGAACGCUGGCGGCAGGCCUAACACAUGCAAGUCGAGCGGAUGAAGGGAGCUUGCUCCUGGAUUCAGCGGCGGACGGGUGAGUAAUGCCUAGGAAUCUGCCUGGUAGUGGGGGAUAACGUCCGGAAACGGGCGCUAAUACCGCAUACGUCCUGAGGGAGAAAGUGGGGGAUCUUCGGACCUCACGCUAUCAGAUGAGCCUAGGUCGGAUUAGCUAGUUGGUGGGGUAAAGGCCUACCAAGGCGACGAUCCGUAACUGGUCUGAGAGGAUGAUCAGUCACACUGGAACUGAGACACGGUCCAGACUCCUACGGGAGGCAGCAGUGGGGAAUAUUGGACAAAGGGCGAAAGCCUGAUCCAGCCAUGCCGCGUGUGUGAAGAAGGUCUUCGGAUUGCAAAGCACUUUAAGUUGGGAGGAAGGGCAGUAAGUUAAUACCUUGCUGUUUUGACGUUACCAACAGAAUAAGCACCGGCUAACUUCGUG